AUUAGAACCAAAACAACAAAGAAUCAUAAAUAAAGCUUCAGAAUAAAUAUGAAAUAAAUACAGUAAGCCCAUAUAUAAUAAACAAAAUACAAACAGGGUGAAAAUUACAUUUUUAGUCCAAGGAUGAUGUUGUCCUUUAUGUAAAAACCAGUAGAAAAUUUUUUGAAAAUUACAAUCUCAAACAUUUUUAUUCUAAUGAAAAAAAAUUCCCUUAACAGUUUUUGCGUGUGCGCAUCCAUGUAUGUAUGUGCGUGAGUAGCCAAUUG
rnacentral:misc_RNA from 1 species